UAACACGUGACUAACCUACCUUCAAGUGGGGGAUAACCUCGGGAAACCGGGGCUAAUACCGCAUAACAUCUUUGGGAUGGAAAUUUCGGAGAUCAAAGGAGCAAUUCGCUAGAAGAGGGGGUCGCGGCUGAUUAGCUAGUUGGCGGGGUAAUGGCCCACCAAGGCUUUGAUCGGUAGCCGGCUGAGAGGGCGCAGGCACACUGGAACUGAAACACGGUCCAGACUCCUACGGGAGGCAGCAGUGGGGAAUUUUGGCGCAAUGGGGGAAACCCUGACGCAGCAACGCCGCGUGGAGGAUGAAGUCCCUUGGGACGUAAACUCCUUUCGACCGGGAAGAUUAUGACGGUACCGGUGGAAGAAGCCCCGGCUAACUUCGUGCCAGCAGCCGCGGUAAUACGAGGGGGGCAAGCGUUGUCUCGGAAUUAUUGGGCGUAAAGGGCGCGUAGGCGGUGCGGUAAGUCACCUGUGAAAUCUCCGGGCUUAACUACGGAGCCUGGGGCGAAACUGCCGUGCUAGAGGGUGGGAGA
rnacentral:rRNA from 1 species